GACGAACGCUGGCGGCGUGCCUAAUACAUGCAAGUUGAGCGCUCAAGGUUGGUACUUGUACCAACGGGAUGAGCAGCGGACGGGUGAGUAACGCGUGGAUAAUCUGCCUUUGAGCGGGGGACAACAUCUGGAAACGAAUGCUAAUACCGCAUAAAAACUUUAACCACAUGGUUUAAGUUUGAAAGAUGCAAUUGCUUCACUCAAAGGUGAUCCCCCGUUGUAUUAGCUUGUUUGUUAAGUAAAGGCUCACCCAAGCGAUGAUAAAUAGGCCACCUGAGAGGGUGAGCGGCCACACUGGGACUGAGACCCGGCCCCAGAUCCUACGGGAGGCAGCCGUAGGGAAGCUUCGGCAAUAGACGAAAGUCUUACCGAGCAACGCCGCGUGAGGGAAGAAGGUUUUCGGAUCGUAAAACUAGGGUGGUAGAGAAGAAAGUUGGUGAGAGUUAAAAGCGCAUGAAGUGACGGUAACUACCCAGAAAGGCACGGCUAACUACGUG
rnacentral:rRNA from 1 species